rnacentral:rRNA from 1 species
GAUGAACGCUGGCGGCGUGCCUAAUACAUGCAAGUCGAGCGAACGGACGAGAAGCUUGCUUUUCUGAUGUUAGCGGCGGACGGGUGAGUAACACGUGGAUAACCUACCUAUAAGACUGGGAUAACUUCGGGAAACCGGAGCUAAUACCGGAUAAUAUUUUGAACCGCAUGGUUCAAAAGUGAAAGACGGUCUUGCUGUCACUUAUAGAUGGAUCCGCGCUGCAUUAGCCAGUUGGUAAGGUAACGGCUUACCAAGGCAACGAUGCAUAGCCGACCUGAGAGGGUGAUCGGCCACACUGGAACUGAGACACGGUCCAGACUCCUACGGGAGGCAGCAGUAGGGAAUCUUCCGCAAUGGGCGAAAGCCUGACGGAGCAACGCCGCGUGAGUGAUGAAGGUCUUCGGAUCGUAAAACUCUGUUAUUAGGGAAGAACAUAUGUGUAAGUAACUGUGCACAUCUUGACGGUACCUAAUCAGAAAGCCACGGCUAACUACGUGCCAGCAGCCGCGGUAAUACGUAGGUGGCAAGCGUUAUCCGGAAUUAUUGGGCGUAAAGCGCGCGUAGGCGGUUUUUUAGUCUGAUGUGAAAGCCCACGGCUCAACCGUGGAGGGUCAUUGGAAACUGGAAAACUUGAGUGCAGAAGAGGAAAGUGGAAUUCCAUGUGUAGCGGUGAAAUGCGCAGAGAUAUGGAGGAACACCAGUGGCGAAGGCGACUUUCUGGUCUGUAACUGACGCUGAUGUGCGAAAGCGUGGGGAUCAAACAGGAUUAGAUACCCUGGUAGUCCACGCCGUAAACGAUGAGUGCUAAGUGUUAGGGGGUUUCCGCCCCUUAGUGCUGCAGCUAACGCAUUAAGCACUCCGCCUGGGGAGUACGACCGCAAGGUUGAAACUCAAAGGAAUUGACGGGGACCCGCACAAGCGGUGGAGCAUGUGGUUUAAUUCGAAGCAACGCGAAGAACCUUACCAAAUCUUGACAUCCUUUGACAACUCUAGAGAUAGAGCCUUCCCCUUCGGGGGACAAAGUGACAGGUGGUGCAUGGUUGUCGUCAGCUCGUGUCGUGAGAUGUUGGGUUAAGUCCCGCAACGAGCGCAACCCUUAAGCUUAGUUGCCAUCAUUAAGUUGGGCACUCUAAGUUGACUGCCGGUGACAAACCGGAGGAAGGUGGGGAUGACGUCAAAUCAUCAUGCCCCUUAUGAUUUGGGCUACACACGUGCUACAAUGGACAAUACAAAGGGCAGCGAAACCGCGAGGUCAAGCAAAUCCCAUAAAGUUGUUCUCAGUUCGGAUUGUAGUCUGCAACUCGACUACAUGAAGCUGGAAUCGCUAGUAAUCGUAGAUCAGCAUGCUACGGUGAAUACGUUCCCGGGUCU